rnacentral:rRNA from 1 species
UGGGGGAUAUUGGACAAUGGGGGGAACCCUGAUCCAGCGACGCCGCGUGAGUGAAGAAGUAUCUCGGUAUGUAAAGCUCUAUCAGCAGGGAAGAAAGAAAUGACGGUACCUGAGUAAGAAGCCCCGGCUAACUACGUGCCAGCAGCCGCGGUAAUACGUAGGGGGCAAGCGUUAUCCGGAAUUACUGGGUGUAAAGGGAGCGUAGACGGUGAAGUAAGUCUGGAGUGAAAGGCGGGGGCCCAACCCCCGGACUGCUCUGGAAACUAUUUGACUGGAGUGCAGGAGAGGUAAGCGGAAUUCCUAGUGUAGCGGUGAAAUGCGUAGAUAUUAGGAGGAACACCAGUGGCGAAGGCGGCUUACUGGACUGUAACUGACGUUGAGGCUCGAAAGCGUGGGGAGCAAACAGG